rnacentral:rRNA from 1 species
UUAGAGAAAGUAAAGUCGUAACAGGUCUCCGUAGCUGAACCAGCGGAAGGAUCAUUACUGAAUUUUUAAUGCCUUGGUUGUCGCUGGCCUUUCAUCASGCAUGUGCACACCUUGGUUAUUCCAAAAUUCUCAUACCUCUGUGCACUUAUUACAUGGAAAGUGAUGAAAAAGUCAGAGCGCUCGGUUAAUUUAUUACCGAGAGUUCGGCAAAAGUCACUUCUGUGGUUUUACCAUUUAUACGCUUCAGUUUAUAGAAUGUAAAUCUUGCGUUUGACGCAACAUAAAAAGUUUAUAUACAACUUUCAGCAACGGAUCUCUUGGCUCUCGCAUCGAUGAAGAACGCAGCGAAAUGCGAUAAGUAAUGUGAAUUGCAGAAUUCAGUGAAUCAUCGAAUCUUUGAACGCACCUUGCGCUCCUUGGUAUUCCGAGGAGCAUGCCUGUUUGAGUGUCAUGGUACUCUCAAUUCUCUCAACUUUUGUUGCUUGAGAAUUGGACUUGGAGGUUGUUGCUGGCGGGGGUUUCUUAUCACCGUCGGCUCCUCUGAAAUGCAUUAGUGUGAAUUCGUUGUUGCACGUUAUUCAGUGUGAUAAUUAUCUGCGCUGUAGACGGUGUUCAACCAAUAAAUCAUUGUGUUUAUUGUUCACGCUUCUAACGGUCUGUUGAAUCAGACAAACACCUUUUUGACAUCUGACCUCAAAUCAGGUAGGACUACCCGCUGAACUUAAGCAUAUCAAUAAGCGGAGGAAAAGAAACUAACAAGGAUUCCCCUAGUAACUGCGAGUGAAGCGGGAAAAGCUCAAAUUUAUAUUCUGGCAGUCUUUGGCUGUCCGAGUUGUAGUCUGGAGAAGUGUUUUCCGCGCUGGACCGUGUACAAGUCUCUUGGAAUAGAGCGUCAUAGAGGGUGAGAAUCCCGUCUUUGACACGGACUACCAGUGCUUUGUGAUGCGCUCUCAAAGAGUCGAGUUGUUUGGGAAUGCAGCUCAAAAUGGGUGGUAAAUUCCAUCUAAAGCUAAAUAUUGGCGAGAGACCGAUAGCGAACAAGUACCGUGAGGGAAAGAUGAAAAGCACUUUGGAAAGAGAGUUAAACAGUACGUGAAAUUGCUGAAAGGGAAACGCUUGAAGUCAGUCACGUUGGUCAGAACUCAGCCUGGCUUUUGCUUGGUGCAUUUUCUGAUCAACGGGCCAGCAUCAAUUUUGACCAUUGGAAAAAUUCUCUGGGAAUGUGGCUCCUCCGGGAGUGUUAUAGCCCAGGGUUGUAUACAGUGGUUGGGAUUGAGGAACUCAGCACGCCUUUAUGGUCGGGGUUCGCCCACGCUCGUGCUUAGGAUGCUGGCGUAAUGGCUUUAAACGACCCGUCUUGAAACACGGACCAAGGAGUCUAACAUGCCUGCGAGUGUUUGGGUGGUAAACCCGAGCGCGCAAUGAAAGUGAAAGUUGGGAUCUCUGUCGCGGAGAGCACCGACGCCCAUACCAGACCUUCUGUGACGGCUAUGCGGUUGAGCAUGUAUGUUGGGACCCGAAAGAUGGUGAACUAUGCCUGAAUAGGGUGAAGCCAGAGGAAACUCUGGUGGAGGCUCGUAGCGAUUCUGACGUGCAAAUCGAUCGUCAAAUUUGGGUAUAGGGGCGAAAGACUAAUCGAACCAUCUAGUAGCUGGUUCCUGCCGAAGUUUCCCUCAGGAUAGCAGAAACUCAUUUCAGAUUUAUGUGGUAAAGCGAAUGAUUAGAGGCCUUGGGGUUGAAACAACCUUAACCUAUUCUCAAACUUUAAAUAUGUAAGAACGAGCCGUCACUUGAUUGGACCGCUCGGCGAUUGAGAGUUUCUAGUGGGCCAUUUUUGGUAAGCAGAACUGGCGAUGCGGGAUGAACCGAACGUGAGGUUAAGGUGCCGGAAUUCACGCUCAUCAGACACCACAAAAGGUGUUAGUUCAUCUAGACAGCAGGACGGUGGCCAUGGAAGUCGGAACCCGCUAAGGAGUGUGUAACAACUCACCUGCCGAAUGAACUAGCCCUGAAAAUGGAUGGCGCUCAAGCGUGAUACCCAUACCUCACCGUCAGUGUUAAAGUGAAGCACUGACGAGUAGGCAGGCGUGGAGGGUUGUGAAGAAGCCUAGGCAGUAAUGCUGGGUGAA